rnacentral:rRNA from 1 species
GGGAUAACUACUGGAAACGGUAGCUAAUACCGCAUAACGUCGCAAGACCAAGGAGGGGGACCUUCGGGCCUCUUGCCAUCAGAUGUGCCCAGAUGGGAUUAGCUAGUAGGUGGGGUAACGGCUCACCUAGGCGACGAUCCCUAGCUGGUCUGAGAGGAUGACCAGCCACACUGGAACUGAGACACGGUCCAGACUCCUACGGGAGGCAGCAGUGGGGAAUAUUGCACAAUGGGCGCAAGCCUGAUGCAGCCAUGCCGCGUGUAUGAAGAAGGCCUUCGGGUUGUAAAGUACUUUCAGCGGGGAGGAAGGUGUUGUGGUUAAUAACCACAGCAAUUGACGUUACCCGCAGAAGAAGCACCGGCUAACUCCGUGCCAGCAGCCGCGGUAAUACGGAGGGUGCAAGCGUUAAUCGGAAUUACUGGGCGUAAAGCGCACGCAGGCGGUCUGUCAAGUCGGAUGUGAAAUCCCCGGGCUCAACCUGGGAACUGCAUUCGAAACUGGCAGGCUAGAGUCUUGUAGAGGGGGGUAGAAUUCCAGGUGUAGCGGUGAAAUGCGUAGAGAUCUGGAGGAAUACCGGUGGCGAAGGCGGCCCCCUGGACAAAGACUGACGCUCAGGUGCGAAAGCGUGAGGAGCAAACAGGAUUAGAUACCCUGGUAGUCCACGCCGUAAACGAUGUCUACUUGGAGGUUGUGCCCUUGAGGCGUGGCUUCCGGAGCUAACGCGUUAAGUCGACCGCCUGGGGAGUACGGCCGCAAGGUUAAAACUCAAAUGAAUUGACGGGGGCCCGCACAAGCGGUGGAGCAUGUGGUUUAAUUCGAUGCAACGCGAAGAAUCUUACCUACUCUUGACAUCCAGAGAACUUUCCAGAGAUGGAUUGGUGCCUUCGAGACUCUGAGACAGUGCUGCAUGCUGUCGUCAGCUCGUGUGUGAAAUGUUGGGUUAAGUCCCGCAACGAGCGCAA